UUCAAUGCCACCUGGAAAAUCACGUAGAUCAGACAGAAUGAACUUUCUCCUGACUUCAUCUGUCGAAGGUAACAAUCAUUAGACCUUAGAUAGAAAACAAAUUGAAGACCAGUAAUUGUUAUUGUGGGGCCCUAUGUAUGUCACGUGGAAAUCACGUAGAUGUUCUCAGUAUUCAUUCACUAUUUUAGUUCACUAGGUGCUGUUGUUCGCUGCCAUUUCUGAUUGACUUCUAAUAAAGAAGUCGAAAAUUAACUUAGAAAAACAAGUGGUUUUCGUACAGCAAACCAACCAUAUCGAUUGUUAGUAGAACAAGCCAUGUCUACUUAACUUCUUAAAUCUGCAGAAAUUGAACAAAGAAAUCCAAAGUUACUACCGUUUGAGGCAAAUAGCACACCAUAACACCGAUGAAAUGGCAGUGACGGAGAAGCUACACAUUUGUUUCGUUUUUGAUGUGUAUUAAAUAUAUUUUAUGCUACAAA